GAUGAACGCUGGCGGCGUGCCUAAUACAUGCAAGUCGAGCGAACGGACGAGAAGCUUGCUUCUCUGAUGUUAGCGGCGGACGGGUGAGUAACACGUGGAUAACCUACCUAUAAGACUGGGAUAACUUCGGGAAACCGGAGCUAAUACCGGAUAAUAUUUUGAACCGCAUGGUUCAAAAGUGAAAGACGGUCUUGCUGUCACUUAUAGAUGGAUCCGCGCUGCAUUAGCUAGUUGGUAAGGUAACGGCUUACAAAGGCAACGAUGCAUAGCCGACCUGAGAGGGUGAUCGGCCACCCUGGAACUGAGACACGGUCCAGACUCCUACGGGAGGCAGCAGUAGGGAAUCUUCCGCAAUGGGCGAAAGCCUGACGGAGCAACGCCGCGUGAGUGAUGAAGGUCUUCGGAUCGUAAAACUCUGUUAUUAGGGAAGAACAUAUGUGUAAGUAACUGUGCACAUCUUGACGGUACCUAAUCAGAAAGCCACGGCUAACUACGUG
rnacentral:rRNA from 1 species